CGACGACCGGCGGAUGGGUGCGUAACGCGUAUGCAACUUGCCUCACAGAGGAGAAUAACCCGGAGAAAUCCGGACUAAUGCUCCAUACACUCUUUAGCACGCCUGUGCGUAAGAGGAAAGAUUUAUCGCUGUGAGAUAGGCAUGCGUCCUAUUAGGUAGUUGGUGAGGUAACGGCUCACCAAGCCGACGAUAGGUAGGGGUGCUGAGAGGCAGAUCCCCCACAUUGGGACUGAGACACGGCCCAAACUCC
rnacentral:rRNA from 1 species